rnacentral:rRNA from 1 species
ACGAACGCUGGCGGCGUGCCUAAUACAUGCAAGUCGAACGCUUCUUUUUCCAUCGGAGCUUGCUCCACCGGAAAAAGAGGAGUGGCGAACGGGUGAGUAACACGUGGGUAACCUGCCCAUCAGAAGGGGAUAACACUUGGAAACAGGUGCUAAUACCGUAUAACAAUCGAAACCGCAUGGUUUUGAUUUGAAAGGCGCUUUCGGGUGUCGCUGAUGGAUGGACCCGCGGUGCAUUAGCUAGUUGGUGAGGUAACGGCUCACCAAGGCGACGAUGCAUAGCCGACCUGAGAGGGUGAUCGGCCACAUUGGGACUGAGACACGGCCCAAACUCCUACGGGAGGCAGCAGUAGGGAAUCUUCGGCAAUGGACGAAAGUCUGACCGAGCAACGCCGCGUGAGUGAAGAAGGUUUUCGGAUCGUAAAACUCUGUUGUUAGAGAAGAACAAGGAUGAGAGUAACUGUUCAUCCCUUGACGGUAUCUAACCAGAAAGCCACGGCUAACUACGUGCCAGCAGCCGCGGUAAUACGUAGGUGGCAAGCGUUGUCCGGAUUUAUUGGGCGUAAAGCGAGCGCAGGCGGUUUCUUAAGUCUGAUGUGAAAGCCCCCGGCUCAACCGGGGAGGGUCAUUGGAAACUGGGAGACUUGAGUGCAGAAGAGGAGAGUGGAAUUCCAUGUGUAGCGGUGAAAUGCGUAGAUAUAUGGAGGAACACCAGUGGCGAAGGCGGCUCUCUGGUCUGUAACUGACGCUGAGGCUCGAAAGCGUGGGGAGCAAACAGGAUUAGAUACCCUGGUAGUGCACGCCGUAAACGAUGAGUGCUAAGUGUUGGAGGGUUUCCGCCCUUCAGUGCUGCAGCUAACGCAUUAAGCACUCCGCCUGGGGAGUACGACCGCAAGGUUGAAACUCAAAGGAAUUGACGGGGGCCCGCACAAGCGGUGGAGCAUGUGGUUUAAUUCGAAGCAACGCGAAGAACCUUACCAGGUCUUGACAUCCUUUGACCACUCUAGAGAUAGAGCUUCCCCUUCGGGGGCAAAGUGACAGGUGGUGCAUGGUUGUCGUCAGCUCGUGUCGUGAGAUGUUGGGUUAAGUCCCGCAACGAGCGCAACCCUUAUUGUUAGUUGCCAUCAUUUAGUUGGGCACUCUAGCAAGACUGCCGGUGACAAACCGGAGGAAGGUGGGGAUGACGUCAAAUCAUCAUGCCCCUUAUGACCUGGGCUACACACGUGCUACAAUGGGAAGUACAACGAGUCGCAAAGUCGCGAGGCUAAGCUAAUCUCUUAAAGCUUCUCUCAGUUCGGAUUGUAGGCUGCAACUCGCCUACAUGAAGCCGGAAUCGCUAGUAAUCGCGGAUCAGCACGCCGCGGUGAAUACGUUCCCGGGCCUUGUACACACCGCCCGUCACACCACGAGAGUUUGUAACACCCGAAGUCGGUGAGGUAACCUUUUGGAGCCAGCCGCCUAAGGUGGGAUAGAUGAUUGGGGUG